rnacentral:lncRNA from 1 species
UGUGAACUUUGGAUACUGAUGACCUGUCCAUGUCAGUGUUCAUUCCUCCGACACUGAGACUCAAGAACCUGGUCUUGGGGAUCCAGGAACACUACUACUCAGUCCUUCCUGGGGUGACUCUCUCCACAAAUUAGACACAAGAAUGUCUCCUCUUCGGAGUUCUGGUUGAUCUGGUCAACGUGUCACACUGUGGUCGAAUCUUCCAAACAUCCCACCCACUCCCUCUCUACAAUGAGAAGGUGAUUCUCGAAAUGU